rnacentral:rRNA from 1 species
UUUAUGGAGAGUUUGAUCCUGGCUCAGGAUGAACGCUGGCGGCGUGCCUAAUACAUGCAAGUCGAGCGAACGGACGAGAAGCUUGCUUCUCUGAUGUUAGCGGCGGACGGGUGAGUAACACGUGGAUAACCUACCUAUAAGACUGGGAUAACUUCGGGAAACCGGAGCUAAUACCGGAUAAUAUUUUGAACCGCAUGGUUCAAAAGUGAAAGACGGUCUUGCUGUCACUUAUAGAUGGAUCCGCGCUGCAUUAGCUAGUUGGUAAGGUAACGGCUUACCAAGGCAACGAUGCAUAGCCGACCUGAGAGGGUGAUCGGCCACACUGGAACUGAGACACGGUCCAGACUCCUACGGGAGGCAGCAGUAGGGAAUCUUCCGCAAUGGGCGAAAGCCUGACGGAGCAACGCCGCGUGAGUGAUGAAGGUCUUCGGAUCGUAAAACUCUGUUAUUAGGGAAGAACAUAUGUGUAAGUAACUGUGCACAUCUUGACGGUACCUAAUCAGAAAGCCACGGCUAACUACGUGCCAGCAGCCGCGGUAAUACGUAGGUGGCAAGCGUUAUCCGGAAUUAUUGGGCGUAAAGCGCGCGUAGGCGGUUUUUUAAGUCUGAUGUGAAAGCCCACGGCUCAACCGUGGAGGGUCAUUGGAAACUGGAAAACUUGAGUGCAGAAGAGGAAAGUGGAAUUCCAUGUGUAGCGGUGAAAUGCGCAGAGAUAUGGAGGAACACCAGUGGCGAAGGCGACUUUCUGGUCUGUAACUGACGCUGAUGUGCGAAAGCGUGGGGAUCAAACAGGAUUAGAUACCCUGGUAGUCCACGCCGUAAACGAUGAGUGCUAAGUGUUAGGGGGUUUCCGCCCCUUAGUGCUGCAGCUAACGCAUUAAGCACUCCGCCUGGGGAGUACGACCGCAAGGUUGAAACUCAAAGGAAUUGACGGGGACCCGCACAAGCGGUGGAGCAUGUGGUUUAAUUCGAAGCAACGCGAAGAACCUUACCAAAUCUUGACAUCCUUUGACAACUCUAGAGAUAGAGCCUUCCCCUUCGGGGGACAAAGUGACAGGUGGUGCAUGGUUGUCGUCAGCUCGUGUCGUGAGAUGUUGGGUUAAGUCCCGCAACGAGCGCAACCCUUAAGCUUAGUUGCCAUCAUUAAGUUGGGCACUCUAAGUUGACUGCCGGUGACAAACCGGAGGAAGGUGGGGAUGACGUCAAAUCAUCAUGCCCCUUAUGAUUUGGGCUAC